rfam:Homo sapiens chromosome 7, GRCh38 reference primary assembly.
GCUGGGUGUGGUGGCUCACGCCUGUAAUCCUAGCACUUUGGGAGGCCGAGGUGGGUGGAUCACCUGAGGUCAGGAGUUCAAGACCAGCCUGACCAACAUGGUGAAACCCUGUCUCUA